CUUGCCAACAUUCAGAGAUGAUAGAUUCAGAGCUGAACAAAGUGAAGACUCAAUUCAAUUGUGAAUGCUGCUUAAAAUUCACAAUCAGAAUAGUAGCAACGUCAAUUAUACAAAACCACAUAUGCUAACGCAAAAUCUUCACCUCAAAGUUCACAUUUCUCGAAGAACGUCGGGAGAAUUAGACGACGAAACCUAGUUUUUAGCCAAUUUUCAAAAUAGUGGAACAAGAGUGAAGACUGAAUCAGAUCUAAAACCAUUGAAAUCGAAUCACCAUUUCUAAAUUCCUGAAUCUACAAAAUCCGUAGAAACCAAAUCUCCAAAAAUUGAGGAUAAAAACACCAUAAUUCGAAGCAUGAUCGAGGAAUCAAAACAUAGGAAUCUACGAUCUAACUUCGUCUAAGACAUCAGAGAAACGAAAUCAAAGCGAUCUGGAGG